UGUGUAAUUAACUGUAAUACUCCUUUUUGAGUUAUUGUUUUUGUUUUGGAAGGAUUCCAAAACGUGAAAAUGUUGAUCCGAACCUUGAAUCGGAUUGUAUUAGGUUGGCUUGUACUCGAAAAAUAAGUGUUCUAGCUUGGGAUAGCUAGAGUCGGAGGUUCUGACGAUUGUAUUCAGGUUGAAUACAGUUUAGUGGAUUUGAAUUCUCAAGUAGGAACUUGAAGAGUGGAUGUAGGUGCAAGGUUGGCACCGAACCACUAUAAAUCUUCUUGUUUGU
rnacentral:lncRNA from 1 species